rnacentral:rRNA from 1 species
UACAGAGGUCUCGAGCGUUAGGCGGAAUCACUGGGCUUAAAGCGUGUGUAGGCGGAUUGGUAAGUACUUUGUGAAAUCCCACGGCUUAACCGUGGAACUGCUUGGUAUACUGCCAGUCUUGAGCCAGCUAGGGGCUACCGGAACAAAUGGUGGAGCGGUGAAAUGCGUAGAUAUCAUGUGGAACGCCAAUGGUGAAAACAGGUAGCUGGGGCUGUGCUGACGCUGAGACACGAAAGCCAGGGGAGCAAACGGG